rnacentral:rRNA from 1 species
UACGAAGGGGGCUAGCGUUGUUCGGAUUUACUGGGCGUAAAGGGCGCGUAGGCGGUCAGGUCAGUCCCGUGUGAAAUCCCUCGGCUCAACUGAGGAACUGCACGGGAAACUACCUGGCUUGAGUUCGGGAGAGGGAAGCGGAAUUCCGGGUGUAGCGGUGAAAUGCGUAGAUAUCCGGAGGAACACCGGUGGCGAAGGCGGCUUCCUGGACCGACACUGACGCUGAGGCGCGAAAGCUAGGGGAGCAAACGGG